rnacentral:rRNA from 1 species
CGGAGAUUUAACGCUGAUGAGGCUUCGGCGAGAUUCUUGUUNCAAUCUUAGUGGCGGACGGGUGAGUAACGCGUGGGUAACCUGCCUCAUACUGGGGGAUAACAGCUGGAAACGACUGUUAAUACCGCAUAAGCGCACAGUAUCGCAUGAUNCAGUGUGAAAAACUCCGGUGGUAUGAGAUGGGCCCGCGUCAGAUUAGCCAGUUGGCACGGUAACGGCCUACCAANGCAACGAUCUGUAACCGGCCUGAGANGGCGGACGGCCACAUUGGGACUGAGACACGGACCAAACUCCUACGGGAGGCANCAGUGGGGGAUAUUGCACAAUGGAAGGAAACUCUGAUGCAUCGACGCCGCGUGAGUGAAGAAUUAUCUCGGUAUGUAAAGCUCUAUCAGCAGGGAACAAAGGCUCGUAAGAGAGAUGACGGUA